rfam:Aedes aegypti strain Liverpool supercont1.1674 genomic scaffold, whole genome shotgun sequence.
CCAACGGCCCUUUUCAGGGCCAUUAAUGUAGUGGAAAAGAGUUAG